rnacentral:misc_RNA from 1 species
UUAAUCUUUGGCGGGUGGGAG